CCAAAAACUACCCCCCCCACCACACACACCUUUUCUUUGGCUAAUAAAUGUAGGAUAAAGUUUCCUGCCUGGAGAUUUGUGAAAUAUUAACCAUGACUAUUAAUCAGAAUUUAUUGUUUUGUCUUCUGGGCCAUGGUCAUUGACUGAGAGCUGGAGAUGUAAUCAGUAUUCUGAACAGCAUCCUUGCUGGCAUUUCACUGAGAAGCUGGAAAAAGAGGAAGAACCUAGUCAAAAUGGAUCAGAGAGCACCAGCACAAGAUGCAAGACUCCACUCUUUCUGCAUGUCUUCUCCUCACAGCUAUGUUGUGGAAUGGGCACAGCUGCAUGCCCCAGAGAAAUAAGUCACCCGCAUUACUUCUUUUCAAGUGUAAACUGACCCCAUCAUAUCAACCCAGACCCAUCUCAGAUAAGAGAACCAAGAUAUAAAGAAGAUGGACCAAUGACAAUUUACACCAGCUGAGUAUUUGCUCCCAAUUUCAUACCAGAAUUCCUGUGUCAUAUUUAUAACACAUAAGAUCACCCUAUAAUGUUUGUACCUAAGAGCAAACUUUCUUUCUUUCUUUCUUUCUUUC